GCGAUCGUGGUGAAACGGCAGACACACCGUCUUGAGGGGGCGGCGUCGAAAGACAUGCGAGUUCGAGUCUCGCCGAUCGCACCA
rnacentral:tRNA from 1 species